rnacentral:lncRNA from 1 species
GAAUCCAGUAACCCGAGUUCAAAUCUCGGUGGAACCUAUUUUUGUGUUACUCCUUUUCCUUUCCUGGAGAGAAAGAUCAAAUCCCUAACUGACCACUCUUCUCGCUAUGCACCUCACUGGAACCCCUAAAUUAAUCUUUCCUGAACAACAUCCAAAUACCUUACUUUCUCAUUUUUCCUUUUUCCCCAUCCCAACCCAAUAUGGAACAAGAAACUCGGCAAAAGAUCGAGGAAACGGUGAAGGAUAUGCUGAGCAAAGCCGAUAUGGAAGAGAUGACUGAGUUUAAAGUCCGAGUCACAGCCUCUGAGUGGCUUGGAAUCGACCUUUCUGAUUUUAGUCACAGAAAAUUUAUUAGAGAAUUAGUGGAGUCUUUUCUUCUCUCCACUGUCGAAGAAAAUGUGGAUGGGAAACAACCCAAUAGUAAGCCCGUGAAAGAUCAAAUCCCUAACUGACCACUCUUCUCGCUAUGCACCUCACUGGAACCCCUAAAUUAAUCUUUCCUGAACAACAUCCAAAUACCUUACUUUCUCAUUUUUCCUUUUUCCCCAUCCCAACCCAAUAUGGAACAAGAAACUCGGCAAAAGAUCGAGGAAACGGUGAAGGAUAUGCUGAGCAAAGCCGAUAUGGAAGAGAUGACUGAGUUUAAAGUCCGAGUCACAGCCUCUGAGCGGCUUGGAAUCGACCUUUCUGAUUUUAGUCACAGAAAAUUUAUUAGAGAAUUAGUGGAGUCUUUUCUUCUCUCCACUGUCGAAGAAAAUGUGGAUGGGAAACAACCCAAUACUAAGCCCGUGGAAGAGGAGGCUAAAGAAGCUAUUAAGGUUAAGAAAGAAAUUGAGGGGGACGGAGGUCGUAUUAUUUGUAAGGUUCGAAUUCUUCACUUUCCUUUGGGUUGAUUAAUUGUUGAAAUACUUUGGAAAUAGAAGUAAAGUUUUUUUUUUUAAUAGACUAGUAAAAUGGAGAUAAAUAUACUUCGUUGUUUGGAAACUGAAAUUGAUAAUAAAUAAAUCUUUUUACAAUCUCAGCUAUCUGCCUCUGCUUAAUUUGCUUGGAAUCCUAUUUAUUAAAGCUUGAACUUUUUUUUGUUGAAGUUUUUGUCAGUGUAUUAAUUAUAGUUUAGUGUCCCUUAAACUUUUGUUGUUGGAAGGACAUACAGUAACAGGUAAGUAGAGCUGUUCAGAACCCAUAUUGGAUCUGGAAAAAAAAAAAAGAAUCCAUGUUGUAACUUGGUUUUCAUUUACUGAAUCCUUGCUUUUGUUGAAGAUUUCUUAUUUUUGAUUCAGCUAGCAGACAAGACGAAUGUGGUUGUUCAUGAUUUUAGAGGAA